ensembl:lncRNA
GUGGGCCAGGGGUUCAAAUUUCCACUGGGUGUGAAAAUGCAAAAUGGUCUGGGCUAGCAGGUGUCCUCUUUCAUCCAGCUGGGGUCACUGUCCCCUAAGAGGCCCUGGGCAGGCCCUUCUGGUCACAUGAAGCCUGCAAACCUCAAGCUCCUAAGGACCUGAAUGCAUUCCAAGAGGCUGACCUAGCAGCCCCAGAGCUCCAGCUGAAGGCCUGGCAGUCCCGGAGGUACUACAUUGCUGGGCAGAGGACACAAGGCAUUUCCAAGGCAGCUUGGCCUCCUGCCAGUGGGUCCCCAGAUGCCAUGCAAGACACACCUGAACGAGGAGGUCAGUGAUCAGCCUUGGGCCGAGCUUCUCUGGCAGAAAUUUCUUCCCCCCAUCCCCACACCCCCGACGUGCUGGAACAGGAUCCAGUCUGUUCACCACUUCCUGCUCAGCCAACGCAGCUGUUCUGCCAGCCCCGGGGCAGUGGCAGUAAGAGGCCCAUUUCCGGGGGUAAGAGCCAGCCACUCUCUGGGCACAACAGUCUGAGAGGGGAGAGGAGUGAUUUGCAUUUUAUAGACAGAAACUGAAGACACUCAUCCCAAAUCGCAGAAACGGAGCAUCAGAGGAUCCAAAGCAUCUAGAAGAUGCAGGCUAGCUUCCCCUCAUGCCUCAAUAAAGCCAUGAAACACAGCAACUUGAGAUGCAAGGGGCGAUUCUGUCCCACUUGGAGAAAGCUAGUCAGUAAGAACAAAGAGAACACAGGCCCAGACUGGGAGUCCUCAGAGAAGGCAAGAGGGCCACAGUGUCCUGCAGGAGCACCAGGCAAGGGAAGAAAUACCCUAACUGCUGAUGGUUUUGACAUCACUGCACCGGCGAUCCAGGAGAAAAGACCAUUGCUUGACUGGGGCAGAAAACCGCUCUGAGCAAGAUAAGGAACGAUAAGGUUUUCUGGAAACUUCCUGUGAGAACCUUUGUUCCAGUCCAGCCUCUUCCUCACUGACGAGCACGACCCACUGCAUACUGCACAGGUGGGAAAGACAGAUCUCUCUCCAACCUUCGUCUAUCACUUGGAGACUGUGCUGGGUUUUAAUACAGGCACUCUGGCUCCUGGCAUGUGCCUGGCUCUAUGACACUAUCAGAAAAAGAAGGGUCACUUUUUUCUGGAAAGAAGACCUGGCUACUCUGCAAAUUCCUCCUGUCUCUUCUAGGAGACCACCUCACCUCCACUUCCACUCCUCUACGCAAUGAAGGACUCCAGGGCCAACCAGUGUGGGGCAGGACCACGAGCGGGAAGGAGGGAGGAACCGACUGAGAAUGAGACUUGAAAGCACAUCAGUGAGAAGCCGAAAAGUUUUCUAUUUGAACUAUGACAAGUCUCUAGAAGAAGGGACGGUGUCUAAAUAGACAUGCUCACUUCUCUCUAAUGAAGACAGCCUCAUGUCAUCAUUGCAGAUCAACACUUUUCCUUGGAAGUAGUUAGAAGACUCUUCUCUCUGGACUCCAUGAUGGCUCCACCCACCCACAUGGCCCUCCAACCCACUUGUCUUCUGAAGUGAGGAUGUAAUGUGGAGUUGAGAUAGAGGGGCGGGGAACUAGCUCCACGAAUGUCCCUUUGGUGGGCAUCUUUUCCCCAAUUACUCAAUCCCUUUGACUUUCCAUGGGAUUAAGACAGCACCAGUGUUCUGGCUUGAAUGUGAAAUAUGCUUCACAGGAUUGCUUUUUGAAAGCUUGCUUGUUCCCCAGUGAGGAGCAAACUGUGGGAAGUGUGUAGAGAGUCUUUUGUGAGGUAGGGUCUAGCUGGUAGAAGCAGAUCACAGGGUUGGGGGAACAGGCCUUGGGAGAUUACAAUGUCCCCCUACCCACUUUAAGCCUUAACUCUGUGUGCCCUGUCCAUCACCCCAUGAACACGCCGCCACUCAUCACACCUUCCCUGCCAUGAUGGACUGUAUCCCCUGAUACUGUGAGCCAAUGCAAACCCUUUUGCCCUUAUGUAAUUUUUAUCAGGUAUUUUGUCAGGGUGGUGAGAAAAAAUAAUAUAAGUAGCACUGUAUAAAAUGUCUCCCCUAGAGUAAUAUCAACAUACACACACACACACACACACAGAGAGAGAGAGAGAGAGAGAGAGAGAGAGAGAGAGAGAGAGCAGUUCAAUGACAAGACUCCUAUGUCCAGUUGUGUGUGGGGGGUGAGUAUGGGUUACAUAUAUACAUGCAUAUUUAAACAUGUGCUGGUGUAUAUGUACAUGCAUGUGUGUAGAGGCCAGAAGUUUUCAUCAGGUGCCUUCCUCCAUUUCUCCCCACUUUAUUUACUGAGAUAGUCUCUUGCUGAAUCUGGAGCUUGUUGAUUUGACUAGUCUAGCUAGCUAUCUCAUCCCAGGAACCUCCUGCCUCCACCCGCCAUGUUCUGGACUAUAGGUGGACCUUCAUGCUUGUAUGUGAGUAUGGGAAAUCACUAAGCCUGCAUUCCCAACCCCUCCUCUGCUCAGUGUUAAGGACCUGCACCUACAGAAACAUAUUAGACCUCAGCUUCUCACCCAUGCCUCUCUCUCCAGUGCAUAUCACCAGACAUAUUCUAGAUCCGUGUGUGUGUGUGUGUGUGUGUGUGUGUGUGUGUGUGUGUGUUGUAUGUGUGUGUGUGUGUGUGUUGAUUCAACUGUCAAAAACUGAAACACAGGGCAGAGAGUGUGUGGCCAAAGUGCCUACAACCCUCAUCCCAGUGACAAGUCCUUUGCCUGAGCACCCAGGCUAGACGAUUGACUUCUCAUCCUUUAGUUUCACCUGAGUUGGCUGUAAAUGCAUUGGCUGCAACCCAGCAGUCCAUCCAUAGCAAACAGACCCCAGUUCUCAGACACAGCCUGGUGGGCUGCCCAGCAGGUCUCCCACUACGUACUAUCUGAAUUUCCCUGCACUGACUUCUCCCUCAGCAACGAUAUGAGUAUCCAUGAAUAAUCAUGAAAUAGAAGGAGAUAAUUGAUAUUUAGCUCUACCAGAGGGAAGCACUAAGGAGAAGUCAUUCUUCAAUCCAGGGACUGAUAACUCAUUAGCUGGCAGCAGGCUGUGAUGGGGAAUGUUCUUCUGUAUAUAUGUUUGUCUUAUUGGUUGAUGAAUAAAAUACUGAUUGGCUAGGCAGGAUGAUAGGUAGGACUAGGAGACAAGGAGGAUUCUUGGAAGUAUAGGCAGAGAGGAGUCAUCAUGUGAUCCCAGGAAGUGACGUAGUUGGGCAGAAACUGCCACUAGGUAACCAUAGAGGACUGGAGGUCUGUACAGCUAGGCAGAAUCAGAAUAUAAGCAGAGACAAACAGGAAACCGUUCUCUUCUCUGCAGAGAUGUUGACCAGUAGCGAUGUAGCAGGCAAAGGAGUUGCAGGUCCGGUCUGCAUUCCCUGGUAAGCCAAGACCAUGUGGAAAUACAUAGAUUAGUAGUUAUGGGUUAAGAAUAAGAAGCCUGAGUCACCAGCUAACAGCUUUAUGCUAAUAUAGCAUCCGUGUGUUUCUUUGGGGCAGAGAAGGGUGGUGGGACCAGCCGGUCAAGAAAACUCACAUUACAAAGCUGAAUUAGAUGCACUAGGCGGUUGGUGACCAGAGCUGAAGAAGAGCUUGUCGGUUCCAAAGUCACUUCCACAGGAUUCACAGAUGCUCAGCCCAGAAGACCAUGCUGAGCCUGCUCAGAGGGACACUGUUACUGCCUGUUCAAGUUUUGGUUAGGCUCUGAGGACAAGUUCAGAGGUAAGAGGUUCCCAGGCCCUUUCUGUUUCUCUCUCCUUUCUCUGAGCUUAGGGUUACCUUCAUACCAUGGUUCUAUCAGCUGAAUGGGACCAUGUGACCAAUGUUCUAAAUGCCCCACUAGGACACCAUCUCACUGGGGUUGUAUCCCCCACUCUAGUAAUAAUAGGUGCUCACUUCCAUACCUUUAGCUACAGGACAGUAGGAAGGAUAAAAACAUUAUCACCCCAAGGCUUUCACUAAAAGUCCCUUUGUCCUCACAUCCACCCCUUGCCUCUAACCUGUGGCCCACUCCCAAGGGGAAGGGUCUCAGUGCACAUAAGCAUCCUACCUAGAAGCCAGACCCCUUUCCACGCUCACCCUUACACUUAGUCUAUCAUGACCUGAAUAUUCCAUCACCCCCAUAGCUACCUGUUACCACCUGCCACCAAUGAAUUCCUUCUGGCUUUCUGCAAUGGCCUCCCUGUGCUCUGCCUUCUUGUCCUCACUAUGCUUCUCUCCUCUGCCCCCAGAUCCAACCUCCAUGACUCUCCACAAGCACACUUGACCACACACUUUGCACAGCAAGCUCCCAGCAUCUCGUUCAUGCCAACUGCAUAUGGCAACAUGCCCCUGCAGGACAAUGGCCAGGAGCCUUAACAUGAGGCCUCUGUGUGCCAUCCUUGGCCCAGUCACCAGCUCCUAUAACACAUACCCACUUGCCACUUAAUGCUAGCUACAUACACAUGUGCUAAGACAGAGAAAGAGAAAGAGAAAAAUCUGUUUCUGUCUUUCUGACUGCUGCCAAUUGCUCUGUUCUUCAACAAGUGUAUGUCUAUUCUGCAACUAAGGUGUUUUUUUGGGUUUUUUUUGUUGUUGUUGUUUUGUUUUUUUUUUUUUUUUUUCAAGAUAGGGUUUCUCUGUAUAACAGCUCUCUGGCUGUCCUGGAACUAGAUCAGGCAGGCCUUGAACUCACUGAAAAACUGUAUAAAGUCCUUGGGAUACAUGGUGUAUGCAAAGAGUUCAUUUUAAAAAUAUUGCUGCUUUCUUCAAAAACUAGACAGGGAUAUCCACUGCAGAUAUCAGUGGUUAAGAGCAUUGCUGGUCUUGCAGAGGGUUCAGGUUUGAUCCGCAGCACCCACAUGGUAGCUCACAAUCAUCUAUAACUCCAGUUCCAGGGGAUAUGAUGUCCCCCUCUGACCUCUUUAGGUACUGGGCAUGUAUAAGGUGCAUAGAAAUCAUGCAGGCAAAACACCCAUGCAUAUUAAAUAAAACUAAAUUACAGUUUUAAAGAAUAGCCAGGGCUAUGCCUUAUGAAGAUGUAGUCUAGGUUGUGGGGGAAGGGGGCAGAUAAAGGGAAGAAAAUUUGAUGGGGCAGACUGGGGACAGAAAGAGAGCUUCAAAGAGCCCUGGGAGGAGCCAUCUCCAAGGGCAGAAUAUACUGUAAAAUCUCCCCAAGACUAACUCACCUUCCAAUAAUUGCCCAAUAAUUGGAAGCAUGUGCAAAGCAAUAAUAAACUCUUUAGAACUACUUGUUCAACACAAGCACCAAACUCAAACUGCCUUAGAAUGAGGAGGGAAAAAAUAGUGUUCUUCCUUUCCCACAGCCCAAUCAUUGAAAAUGUACCCUAGAACAGCAUACUUACAGAGACACUUUCUGGUUCUGAGGCAUCCCAGGUUGAUACCCAAAGGAAAAGGCUUUCUCCAGUGGGAAGGCUCCUUGUUGAUGGGGGAAGUCCUACUGUAUAUAUGUUUUCUUAGUGUUAAUGAAUUAAACACUGUGUGGCUAGUGGCCAAUAGGGCAGCAAGAUAGGUGGGUCUAGAAGAUGAGGAGAAUUCUGGUAAAUGUGGCUGGAGGUAUAACGCCAUGCCAGGCAUUACCAGGUAAGCCACAACCUCAAGGCAAUACAUAGAUUAAUAUAAAUGGGUUAAUAAUUAAGACAGAGCUAGCCAAUAAGAAGCCCUAGUCACUGGCCAACAGUAUUAUAAUUAAUAUAAGUCUCUGAGUGUUCAUUUGGGGUUGAUGCAGCUGUGGGUUCAGGCUGGCAGGAAAGAG